CUGGACAUUGUUAUUCACUUCAAUCGCUCUAGAAAUAUCAAAUUAUCUUAUUUUUCUUUUUUCGUGUUUUACUUUCUUUUGUAACCCUAAAUCUUGGUUUGAUCGACGGGCAAAGCUCCCGCGACUACCGUUUAUCGUGUAAAGGGAACUUCACCCUUAAAAGGAGAUUACCUUCUUCAAGAGUAGUUGCUGUUCUUGAGUUUCUUGUUUCUAGAAUUUGAAAUUCUCCUACUUACUCCCUGAUUCCUUGUUGAAAAGUUGGGGAAAAAGAUGAGCUUGAGUUUUAACAUAGAGGGUUUGUGAAGAUGAGAAGAAUGGUUGUUACCUAUGGAGAGUAGGAACUCCUUGCAAGAACUCUGCAGAGACUCUACUCACUCACUCAAAACACUACACUCUCAACUUGUUAUGUUGCUGAAAUUAUCGAACAAGAGGGAGGGGUCUUGGGAAGUGGUGUGGAGAUGGUUUUUAUAGCCAAACUCGUGUACUUGUGCAGCAUUAACUUGAGCUGUUGUAUGCCUUGUUUUCUUUCUGCAGCAACUUCAACUGCAACUUGGCUCCAUGUGUGUACCUAGUACUUUAGUUAAUAAAUGGAACUUGUUGGUUGUGGCAGGUGCACAACAAGAGGGAUGCAGGGUUGUUAAUUGCAAUCUGUAGAGCUGCUGCAGUUGUCCCCUUUCUUCUUAACUUGGAGCAGCCUUGGGUUAUGGCUGGGAGUGCAGUGGCUGUUGAAGCUGGAGUGCAGAGCUGCUGCAGCUUAGCUUUCCUCCCUUUUUCUGGCUCGUGGCAGCCUGUGGUGAUGGCUGAGGGAGGGUGCAGGAGCUUGUAGCAACCUAUCUUUGCCUAAUUUGGCAAUCCUUUGGUCUUCAUUAAAAGGGGUGGGAAAGACGUGGUUGGGCUGGAAGGCGGGCCUUCCGCAACAUGGGCUUGCUGCCCUCGGCCCGACGGGCUGAUCGGAGACGAGGUCGCGGUGUGGUGUGGUUUGGCUCGGGAAACGAAUAGAUUCAAGACGUUUUCACCUUGACAUCCUUAUGUAUUAUUUUCUUUAUUUUUUUAUUUUUUUUUUAGCUAAGACAUAGCUUGGAAUGUAACAAUGUUGUAUUUUAUUCACUUAAGGAAUAACGAAUGUGUAUUCAUUCUUGAUUCAAA